rnacentral:tRNA from 1 species
UCUAAUAUGACAGAAUAGUGUGAUGAAUUUAAAUUUCAUUAAUAAAAUUAUUAUAAUUUUUUUUAGAA